CCAACCCUUUGUGACCUUACCAUAUCGUUGCUUCGGCGGGUCUCGCCCCGGCGCCCCCGGGCCCGGAACCAGGCGCCCGCCGGAGACCCCAAACUCUCAUGUCUUUAGUGGUUUUCUCCUCUGAGUGUCACAUAAACAAAUAAAUAAAAACUUUCAACAACGGAUCUCUUGGUUCUGGCAUCGAUGAAGAACGCAGCGAAAUGCGAUAAGUAAUGUGAAUUGCAGAAUUCAGUGAAUCAUCGAAUCUUUGAACGCACAUUGCGCCCGCCAGUAUUCUGGCGGGCAUGCCUGUUCGAGCGUCAUUUCAACCCUCAGGCCCCCAGUGCCUGGCGUUGGGGAUCGGCACAACCGCCCUCCGGGGCGGCGCCGGCCCCGAAAUCUAGUGGCGGUCUCGCUGUAGUCCUCCUCUGCGUAGUAGCACAACCUCGCACUGGAACGCGGCGGCGACCAUGCCGUGAAACACCCCACUUCUGAAAGUUGACCUCGGAUCAGGUAGGAAUACCCGCUGAACUUAAGCAUAUCAA
rnacentral:rRNA from 1 species